rnacentral:lncRNA from 1 species
UCUCUCUUCAUAUUCCUCUUCCUCGCAAUUUCUUUCUUUCUCCACCAGCUUUUUAUCCCUCUCCUCCACCUCCACUACCUCAUGUCGAUGUCAUGCUCCUCUUUCCUACUUCUCUACAGUUUUGUUGACACUAGCGGUGGCAAUACGGAUUUGGAUAUAACACAAAUUGUGGAAGUGAGUCGUAAACGGCAAUGACGAGGAGGGUACAGUAGGAUUUAAGGUUGACAGGUAGGGAGAGCGCAUCGCGGCGGGGGCAACGACUGCGGCAGAAGAUAACAACUGCGGUAAAGAGCGACGAAAGAAGUGCAGUAGCGAAAAAAAAUACAAAUGGUGGAACAAAGCGAAUAAGAAAAAAUAAAAAAUAUAUAUUUUUCUUCUUUUAAGAAGGUCAUCAUGUGUUAUAGCUAGCUGCUACAGAAAGACCAGUAGAGAAGAAAGAAGAAAAAAAUUAUACUGUUUGAAACUAAGU